UGUUGAUUUUCAGCUGUUGGAUUAGAAACUCGAGUAUAUUUACCAACCUAAAGAUGAAACCCUAAUAUUUCAUUGUUUUCUCGCCGCUGCUCUCUAUCUCUUUCCAAAAUUCAGUGAGAGUACCGGUGUGUUCCCUAUAAACCCUAAGCUAAGAGAAAUUGAAAUCUCAUGGAUUUCGAUAAUCCAAAAUCUCAGAAGUCUAUGGGUGAAGCUUUAGAAGAUAGAAUUAACCAAUUACCUGACUCAGUUCUUCAUCACAUCCUUUCAUCAUCACCCCUUGAUAUCAAGGAUGUUGCUCGUACUUGUGUGCUAUCUAAAAGAUGGAAGCACAUAUGGACCUCUAUCCCCACCCUCGAUUUCCGGUUUUGGAUAUUACCUCCUUCGACACCGGAGAUCAAUAAAUCAUGGAUUUUGUAGACAGAACAUUGCUUCUUCAUCACAAAUCAAAUAUUGUAAAGUUUGAGCUCAACUUAUUCAACAAUAUGAAUGCAUCACGGGUUCAUUCAUGGAUCGAAUAUUUAACCAGUUGUGAUGUCCAAAAUCUCAGUUUCUAUGUAGGGUUUUUUCAAAAAAUACCUUUAUCUCUUCCUGUAUCUCUUUUUACAUGUGAGUCAUUGACAAAAUUGGAGCUAAGUGAGGGUCUGCAUUUUGCCUAAAAACAUCUCUUUUCCGCAUCUCAAGAGCCUUACACUCUCCGGAAUCCAAUUUGGUCGACCAUUCAUGUGAUGACGACAAAGAGUGUGAUAAAAGUGAAGAAUUGUUUCGACACCUCCAGUCAGUUCGGUUCGUGGAAUUCAGUGGUAGCAGGAGGGAGUCAAGAUGGGAAAAAUUAAUCUUGAAGUAUGCAGAAUCCUUGCAGACGAUGACUAUUGAAUACUAUGUUCCGGCGAUGAAAAGCAAAGAACUGGUUAUGUCGGAGUUUCUAAGCUUUAAAAGAGCCUCUAGGAAAUGCUGGGUUAAAUUUGUCUGUAACUUGUGAGAAAGGCAUGAGAUUUCCAGAAUCAACAUGUUUUUUUCCAGAGUAGUUAUUUGUAUUUAGUCUUGGUCCUCGACAGUGCAUUAUGAAUUUUUUUGGCAGAAAACAGGACACAAUUGCUUUAUGGAGAGAACAUGACAUGAUAUGUUAGUUUUUGAACUGCCGUCAUCUCUGAUUAGAUGUUUCUCCUAUCGCAAAAGAGAGAUCAUUUCACUUUCUAUGUAUUUCUCUUGCAUAACAAAAUUUGAUUUGUUGUAUGUAAGCUGUCUUUACAAUGACAGCACUAUCAAACCUGUUGUAGACAUACUUUAUCAAACCUGGUGUUGACUUAACAGGUACCUUGAAAGAUACAAUGUGGAAGAGGCAGAAAGUCUGGCAGUUUUUGAAGCUAUCCAGUGGAGCAACUCUAGAAGUCUACCUUCCAUCUGUAUUAGAACCGACUCAAGUAAUAUAUGCCAUUUCUUAUUUGAAUAAAACUGUUGACCAGAUUAGCUGGUCUUCUUGCUCCAUUAUGGAUGAUUGUCUAGUCUUAGUUAAACACACCUAAUUUUCUAAGUUUGAUUCUAAGUUGGAGUAUAUCCAGAGAGAAUUAAAUUCAUCUGCUGACAAAGCAGCUGAAAACAGUAGAAGGCCGGGUGUAACAGGUUCUUGGCUUCCCCAUGUCCUGAACCAAAAUUUUUAAUCUUUCUUUUUCACCAAAAUUUGUGAUAAAGGCAUGAGAUUUCCCAAAUCAGUAUGUUUUUUAUAGAGUAGUUAUUUGUAUUUAGUCUUGGUCCUUGACAAUGUAUUUUGAAUUUUUUUUGGCAGAAAACAGGACACAAUUGCUUUAUGGAGAGAACAUGACAUGAUAUGUUAGUUUUUGAACUGCCGCCAUCUCUGGUACCGUGAAAGAUACAAUGUGGAAGAGGCAGAAAGUCUGGCAGUUUUUGAAGCUAUCCAGUGGAGCAACUCUAGAAAUCUACCUUCCAUCUGUAUUAGAAGCGACUCAAAUAAUAAAACAGGACACAAUUGCUUUACGGAGAGAACAUGACAUGAUAUGUUAGUUUUUGAACUGCCGUCUCUAUGGUACCUUGAAAGAUACAAUGUGGAAGAGGCAGAAAGUCUGGAAGUUUUUGAAGCUAUCCAGUGGAGCAACUCUAGAAAUCUACCUUCCAUCUGUAUUAGAAGCGACUCAAAUAAUGUAUGUCAUUUUUUAUUUGAAUAAAACUGUUGACCAUAUUAGCUGGUCUGCUUGCUCCAUUAUGGAUGAUUGUCUAGUCUUAGUUAAAUACACCUAAUUUUCUAAGUUUGAUUCUAAGUUCGAGUAUAUCCAGAGAGAAUUAAAUUCAUCUGCUGACAAAGCAGCUGAAAACAGUAGAAGGUCGGGUGUAACAGGUUCUUGGCUUCCUGAACCAAAAGUUGUAAUCUUUCUUUUUCACCAAUGAAUUAAUUUUGUUACACCCCAAAAAAAAAA